rnacentral:rRNA from 1 species
UGGGGAAUAUUGCACAAUGGGCGAAAGCCUGAUGCAGCAACGCCGCGUGAGGGACGACGGCCUUCGGGUUGUAAACCUCUUUUAGCAAGGAAGAAGCGAAAGUGACGGUACUUGCAGAAAAAGCGCCGGCUAACUACGUGCCAGCAGCCGCGGUAAUACGUAGGGCGCAAGCGUUAUCCGGAAUUAUUGGGCGUAAAGAGCUCGUAGGCGGUUUGUCGCGUCUGCUGUGAAAACCCGAGGCUCAACCUCGGGCCUGCAGUGGGUACGGGCAGACUAGAGUGCGGUAGGGGAGAUUGGAACUCCUGGUGUAGCGGUGGAAUGCGCAGAUAUCAGGAAGAACACCGAUGGCGAAGGCAGAUCUCUGGGCCGUAACUGACGCUGAGGAGCGAAAGGGUGGGGAGCAAAACAGGCUUAGAUACCCUGGUAGUCCACCCCGUAAACGUUGGGAACUAGUUGUGGGGUCCAUUCCACGGAUUCCGUGACGCAGCUAACGCAUUAAGUUCCCCGCCU